GUGUGGUACCUGUUGUAGACUGAGGAUGAGGGGUGUGUGUGUGUGUGUGGUACCUGUUGUAGACUGAGGAUGAGGGGUGUGUGUGUGUGUGUGGUACCUGUUGUAGACUGAGGAUGAGGGGUGUGUGUGUGUGUGUGGUACCUGUUGUAGACUGAGGAUGAGGGGUGUGUGUGUGUGUGUGGUACCUGUUGUAGACUGAGGAUGAGGGGUGUGUGUGUGUGUGUGUGUGUGUGUGUGUGUGUGUGUGGUACCUGUUGUAGACUGAGGAUGAGGGGUGUGUGUGUGUGUGUGGUACCUGUUGUAGACUGAGGAUGAGGGGGGUGUGUGUGUGUGGUACCUGUUGUAGACUGAGGAUGAGGGGUGUGUGUGUGUGUGGUACCUGUUGUAGACUGAGGAUGAGGGGUGUGUGUG